rnacentral:rRNA from 1 species
UACGUAGGGUGCGAGCGUUAAUCGGAAUUACUGGGCGUAAAGCGUGUGUAGGUGGCUGCGUAAGUCGGAUGUGAAAGCCCUGGGCUCAACUCAGGAAGUGCACUCGAUACUGCGUAGCUCGAGUACCGGAGAGGUUGGUAGAAUUCUCGGUGUAGAGGUGAAAUUCGUAGAUAUCGGGAGGAACACCAGUGGCGAAGGCGGCGCCUGGGCCAAUAUUGACGCUAAUGUGCGAAAGCGUGGGGAGCAAACAGG